ACGGCGGCCGUAACUAUAACGGUCCUAAGGUAGCGAAAUUCCUUGUCGGGUAAGUUCCGACCUGCACGAAUGGCGUAAUGAUGGCCAGGCUGUCUCCACCCGAGACUCAGUGAAAUUGAACUCGCUGUGAAGAUGCAGUGUACCCGCGGCAAGACGGAAAGACCCCGUGAACCUUUACUAUAGCUUGACACUGAACAUUGAGCCUUGAUGUGUAGGAUAGGUGGGAGGCUUUGAAGUGUGGACGCCAGUCUGCAUGGAGCCGACCUUGAAAUACCACCCUUUAAUGUUUGAUGUUCUAACGUGGGCCCCUUACCGGGGUUGCGGACAGUGUCUGGUGGGUAGUUUGACUGGGGCGGUCUCCUCCUAAAGAGUAACGGAGGAGCACGAAGGUUGGCUAAUCCUGGUCGGACAUCAGGAGGUUAGUGCAAUGGCAUAAGCCAGCUUGACUGCGAGCGUGACGGCGCGAGCAGGUGCGAAAGCAGGUCAUAGUGAUCCGGUGGUUCUGAAUGGAAGGGCCAUCGCUCAACGGAUAAAAGGUACUCCGGGGAUAACAGGCUGAUACCGCCCAAGAGUUCAUAUCGACGGCGGUGUUUGGCACCUCGAUGUCGGCUCAUCACAUCCUGGGGCUGAAGUAGGUCCCAAGGGUAUGGCUGUUCGCCAUUUAAAGUGGUACGCGAGCUGGGUUUAGAACGUCGUGAGACAGUUCGGUCCCUAUCUGCCGUGGGCGCUGGAGAACUGAGGGGGGCUGCUCCUAGUACGAGAGGACCGGAGUGGACGCAUCACUGGUGUUCGGGUUGUCAUGCCAAUGGCACUGCCCGGUAGCUAAAUGCGGAAGAGAUAAGUGCUGAAAGCAUCUAAGCACGAAACUUGCCCCGAGAUGAGUUCUCCCUGACUCCUUGAGAGUCCUGAAGGAACGUUGAAGACGACGACGUUGAUAGGCCGGGUGUGUAAGCGCAGCGAUGCGUUGAGCUAACCGGUACUAAUGAACCGUGAGGCUUAACCUUACAACGCCGAAG
rnacentral:rRNA from 1 species